GCGCUGGUUUGACAGCACAUAUACUAAAAUGGGAAGGAUAUAGAGAAGAUUCUGAUGGCCCCUGUGCAAGGAUGACAUGCAAAUUUGUGAGGCAUUCCAUAUUUUU
ensembl:snRNA U6 U6 spliceosomal RNA